UCAGUGGCCGAGUGGAUAACGCUAUGGCGUUUGAAGCGAAAGGUACUGGGUUCGAGUCCCAGGGUGA
rnacentral:tRNA from 11 species